ensembl:misc_RNA Metazoa_SRP Metazoan signal recognition particle RNA
GCUGGGAGUGGUGGCCCAUGCCUGUUUUCCCAGCUACUUGGGAGGCUAAGGCUGGAGGAUCACUUGAGCCCAGGAGUUGUGGGCAGUGGUCACUAUGCUGAUCUGGCAUCUGCACUGUUUGACAUCAAUAUGGUGACCUCCCAGGAGUGGAAGAUAGUAGGUUGCCUAGGGAGGGGUGAACCAGCCCAGGUCAGAAACAGAGCAGAUCAAAACUCCUGUGCUGAUCAGUAGUGGGAUUAUGCCCAUGAACAGCCUGGGAAACAUAGCCAGGUCCCAUUUCUA